ACCGUUGUAGCUCAGUCGGUUAGAGCGUCACCCUUAUGUGGUGAAGUGCGUGGGUUCGAUUCCCUCCAGCGGUA
rnacentral:tRNA from 1 species